UGAAAAUACACUAAAAAUAGUGGAAAAUGAGUUAGAGGCAGAAUAAAAUAUGGCAUUAAAGCUUAAUGAGUCUAUUUUCACAUGAAAGAAACAGGGGAAGAAAAAGAAUUCCAUAUUGUGUGAUAUUUGAAUUCUUGUGAAACAAGGUCUGAAUAAAUUCGAGAUCCCCUUUUCUGACUUUAGAAAUUCACCAAAAAUUGUACAAAAAUUAUUAAGAGUCAUAACUUACAUGCAUGGAUUCCUUAUUGAGUCUAUUUUUAGGGGAAAUAAACAGAAUGGUCGUUGGAAUUUUGUACAGGGAGAAAUUUGGUUUGUAGUGCAUAGGGUUCAGAGUGGUCAUACCCUGAAACAGGGGAGACUUUAACUAAUAAACUGUACUAAUUGGCCCAAUAAUUCUAUAAAAAAAAUUAGUAAGUAGAGAUAUGAGUCUAGUUUCAAGAGAAAUAGAUGAGAACAUUAUUCGAGUCUUGUACUAUGAGAUAAUCGAACUUUAGUACAGAAGGGUCGGAACUGUCAGAUAGUGAAUCAGGGGUAACUUUGAGGAAUAAACUGUACUAUUUGGCUUAACCAAAAAUUCUAGAAAUUUUAUGGAAGAAAGGAAAAUAAGUCUAGUUUCAGGAAAAAUUAACGGAACUUAAUUCAGAGUUUCGUAGCUCCAUAUAUAAAUAAUUUAGUGACCGUUGCUCAGAAAGACAGCUUGUAGUGAACUUGAGAAUAUGUUGUAAACAUUGAUAAAACAAGUUAAUGAGUUGCUUAUUGUUUUCAUAUGAACUUACUAAGUGAAAGCUUACCCCCCUCUUCUUUCCCAUGUUUUCUAGAGUUUCCAGGUUAGCUCGGGUUGGAGGCCGUCAGAGAUAUUAUCAUACUGUCGAGUUAACGUUAUCGGCGUAAGUAAACUCAAGUGAUUCUAGUCUAUGGCAUGUAUAGGGUUUUAAUGUGAGUAUGUAAUAUUAUGAUUUAGCCAAAUGCAUUGGCUUGUUAUUAAGGUAGUAUUAGUCAUGUAAAUUGGCCUAUGUCGGCUAAUAUCGUUAUGGGCCCAUAUGAUUAUUCUUAUGCAUGUAUGUUAUUAUCUCUUGUGAUGUGGCUUACAACAUGUAUGCCUAGAGAUUGAAUUGAAAUUCAUUGAUGAGCUAAUAACUAAUGCAGGAUUAAGUGAUUGGUAAAUAGUUAAUAAUGCUUCAUGAAUGGUUUGUGGAUAUGAUUAUGCAUGCUUUGUGAUGGACAUGAGGUUUGAUGACAUGUUGAUAGCUAUAGCAUUAAUAUGGUAAAGAUGAAAGAAAAACUUAUUGUAAUGGUUGCAUGUGAAAUUACCAUGGUCAUGUCAUGUUAGGAAGGUUUAAGUGCCUAAUUUUACCAUGUUGUAUGCUAUUGUAUAAGUAUGCGUGCAUGUGUUGUGAGUGUGACAAAAUGGCUUGGAAAAUAGCCUUGUAUUUGUCCAGGUUUUGGACAUGGGUUCGGGACACGGCCGUGUCCUUAGCACCCGGGCGUGUGUUCUAUACCUACACGGGCGUGUGGAGCCUUGAUACAAGAGAUUUCCUAAGUUUUUCAUGAGUUCUCGGUUGGGUCCCAAACCACCCCGAAUGCAUGUAUUGGGCCUCGUAAGCUCGCAUAAAGGACAGAUUGUAUGUGAAAAGAAAAGUUUUUAAUUAUUUGAGAUUUCAUGACCCUGUUUAGUAUGGAAGUGUUAGUAAAAGUUAGGUAGCACCUCGAGCCCAGUCCAGGCGUCGGAUGCGGGUGAGGGGUGUUACAUUUAGUGGUAUCAGAGCAUGGUUUAGUCGGUUCUCGGACUAACCUAGCGUAAGAGAGUCUAGCUAUACAUGCCAUAGUAUUACUGGUGAUAGUGUGAUAUCUCUCAGUCCUAACAAAACUGUUGAUUAAGACAGGAAUGAGUUCCAACCGAGCAAAUCUUGAUAGAGAUAAGAGUAAAGUUGAGAUUAUUGAAUCAUGCUUAUGUUAUGCUAAAAAUUGGGAAAGGUAUGAAAAGAAAUCCAUAUUUUUUUUAUAUGAACUAGUAUUCAUUAUGUGAUACUCUUGAGAUAAAGAAUGUGAAAAAUGCUUUUAUGCAUGUUAGUAUUCAUACGAUGUUAAAUGUCCAACUUGAUUUGGCCAAGUGUUUAGGAAAAGAAAGAAAUUUGUUUGAAGUGACAGAAUGUAUGUAUGAAUACUUUUAUUGCAUGAUUAGUAAUUAGUAUAUACAUGAGGUUGACAUUUAUGUCUAGAUUAAUGAAGUCAAGAUGCUGAAAUGUUAUGCCUUAUAAUCUUACUUACAGAAUCAUAAAUGUCACAAUAGCAUGAAAGUUGUAAUGAAAGAUCAAAUUGGGUGGAACGCAGGGAAUGAGUACGAUCGUUCACUAAUGAAUUGACGGAAAAGACUAUGGUUGGACCAUGAUAAUACAUGAGAUUUGUGUGCCAGUGUAAGACCAUGUAUGAGACAUGGCAUCGGCAUUGAGACGAGGGCUAGUGUAAGACAUGUCUGGGACAUGCAUCAGCCACAGUAUGAGAGCCAGUGUAAGACAUGUCUGGGACAUGCAUCGGCCUCGAGAUGUUAGCCAGUGUUAGACAUGUCUGGGACAUGCGUCGACUACAAGAUGUGCUAGUGUAAGAAAGGUCUAGGACAUGCGUUAGCACGGUUACAUGUGUCAGUGUAAGACCUGUCUGGGACACAGCAUCGACACAGAUGGAUGAGAGCUAGUACAAUACCAUAGUUGAACUAUCGCAUCAAGUAAACGAUGUACUCAAAACCAUAAGACGUUCUCCAAUUUGAUAAAUAUUGGCAAGUGAUUAAGACUAAAUAUGGGAAUUUGAUAAAACAUUAAGGGUAAUUUGAGAAAAAGAAAUGAAAGUUUUAUUUAUGAUAAAUUCACUUAUGUUCAGCUAAUAUUCGUAUGAAAUAAAGUUGCAUGUAUUACUGAGAUAUGUGAAAAUGUGUUUAUAACAAGUUGGAAAUUUGAAAUGUUUGAAUCAAUAUGCGUAAAGCUAUGUUGUUGUUGAAUAUGUAUUUGCUUGAGAGUCAAAAGUUUAGAGGCUUAACAAUCUUCGCCCCCUCACCAGAAUAGAGUUAUACGAUGAGAUUCUCGAGAGAUAUGUUGCAUAAGCUUGCAAAAGUGAAACUGAAGAGUACAAAAAUGGAAUAGUAUGAGAUUAGCGAAGACAGAAUUAGUUAGAGGAAUAAUGUUGGACUUGCACAGAUGUCUGAGUAUGACGAAUUCAAUUAAACAAAAGUGAUGGCUAUCUUUCUCUUCUGAGUAUUCUAUGUUUUCCUCAAUUUUGGGGAAUACGUAUGGUUAUCCCUUUCGACUGAAAAUUCUAUUGUGUGAGGAUGCUAGUGACUGUGAUAUUAGAUGAAAAGUUCUAUUGGUCCAGUUAGUUAUGAUCUACAUUUCCCCAUCUCUUCAGAUUUAUAUUCUGAUAUAUUGGAAUGAAGUUGACAGUAAAAAUCUAUGUAAGAUUAUUCUGAUGUUCUAUUGAUUAUGGUUUAUAUAUGCGAGAAUUAUAUUAUCUCUGUUACGAGAAAUUCUAGAGCGUACAGACAGUAGUUUCUUUCUGGUUUUCUCUAAGGGAUUUUCCAGAUCAUCUAUAUUAUUUUCUUCUGGAUUAUAUUCUCGGAUUUCUGGUAUAGUCUUUAUAUCUUGGAAUUUCUUAUAUUAGCUUUUCUCUCGUUCUUGUUUCGAGAAUUAUCAAGCUUGGCUUAUCUUUACGAGUAAUCUUUGACUUGCGAUAUUAGAAUCUUUUAUGAUUAAGCUUCUGGCUCGACCAUAAAAGUGUGGGGAUUUCAGUGUCGAGAUUUCUUUAAAAUUCCUGGGGUAAAGAAUGGUUAUUCUACAAAAGUAAAUCUGAGUUAUGUGCAUUUAAGUUUAUUCUCUGGUCUGAGAAUACCGUUACGUGUUCCUUGGUAAGUAGUCGUACAGUCAGAAAUGAUGAGGUUUUAUUCUUGAAAGUAUGUUAUGGAAACAUAUUAGUUGGAUUUCUCUUGUUCGAGAGAUGUUAUAAGUAUAGUUAUCCUAAUUAAUAAAGAAACCACAUCUAUGAAGUUGGAAUCAUUUGAUUCAUGUUAGUAAAGUUUCUAAACAGUUGAUGAUCAGAGUAUAGAAAUGUGGCUAUAAGUGGUAAAUUAAACAAGUACAGCAUGAUUCGACUUUUAAUUUGGAAUUGCAGGGAGGAUUUGAUUUCUGGUUUUUAUUACUAUUAAUUCAGAGUAAGAUUUCAGUACUGAGAAACUCUGGGUAUACAGAGAAUUGAGUACAGAGUUCACAGCAGUAUCUUGUCUAUUCGUUCAAAGGAUGUUGAAUUGUCUAUAGGGUAAAGCCGAAUAUCAAAUGUAUUUGAGAUUAUUAUUGUCAGUGAUGACAGUGGGAAGAAAAUGAGAAAGUACUGUUAUGAAUUUUGUAUCGGGAUGUCUCUCAUUCCCAGGAAAAAGGAGGGAUGCAAGUUGAAUUGUGAUAGAUUGAUGAUGGAAGUCCACAUGAUUAUUUUAGUAUGUACAGAUAUAUUAUUCGACAGAUGUGACUGAGUUGUAUGUUUCUGAGUUUAUAGUUCCAAGAAUGUCAGUCUCCAGUGUUUCAAAUUGAGCUCCGAGGUUUAUACCUCUACUAUGGAAAAGCUAUAGGAAAUCUUGAGUAUGAGCUUGUGCUGAGUUGUUUUGUAAGUUGUGAGAAAAAGAUAUAAGUGACUUGUGAAAGUAAAGAGCAAAUUUUUCUGGUAAGAUUUUCGAGGACGAAAAUCCCUAAAGGGGGGAAAAAAUGUAACAGCCCUAUUUUGGGCCUAGUCGAAACAGUGGUUUCGGGACCACUUUUUCGAGGCUAGAGAAAAUUAUUUUAGCAUUAUUUUAUGUGUUAUAAUAUAAUUUUAUAAGUGCAUGUAAAUUUUGGUAAGUUAAUUUUAGCUAUUUCUAGUCCAAUUUCGAAAAAGGACUAAAUCGCGUAAAAGGUAAAAGUUGUGUUUUAAUACCUAAAGGUGUUAAAUUGCCUUGUAUCUUAAAUUGGGGGUAUUUAAAGUGAAAUUAGGCCAUUGAAAGUGUGAUGGCCGGCCAUGGGAGACAAAAUUGUUGAAAAGUCAAAAUUAGGUGAAAUUUGGUCACCAAUUUUGACUAGUUUUAUUAUUAACAAAUCAAAAAGAAAAAGCUAUCAUUUUUCUCUUCUCCUUCACCAAAAUAUGCAGCAAAGAAAGGGCUUUGAAGCUGGAAAAUUUCAGCAACAUAUUUCCCUUGCUUGUAAGUGAUUUUAAUGUCUUUGCUUGAUGAUUUCUACAUUUUUGGAACCCCUAAAGCAUGAGCUUUCAUAAUAGGGGACUAUUUUGCAAAAUGAUGAAGAGUCUAGGGUUUUGCCAUGAGAUUAAAUGUGUUUUUUGCUGUGUUUUUAUGGAAGAUUAUGAGUGCUAGUUGUCUAAUAAACAACUUUUGUGAAAGAAAUUGCAUGAAAACACCUUAAAAAUGGCUAGAUUGCUAAGUUGUAAAAUGAGUUGUAAAUGUGUGAAAUAGUUGAAAUUAUGAGUUGCUAUAGUUAUGAAAAUGGUUCAUCUAGACUCAAGGAGUAAAGAAAUGUGAUAAAAAUUAUUUUACGAGACUAGGGGUAAUUUGGUAAUUUUGGCAAAAUAUAGGGGCAAAAUUGUAAAAAAUUGCUCAAGUGUGUCAAUGGACUAAUUUGAUCAGUACAUUGUUUUAAUAAGUUGAAUGUGAUAUUUUAGAUGAUGAAAAUCGAGAUUUGGACCUAGAACGGAAAGAAAUUAAUUAAGGGAUAAUUACGUCUUUUUUUUCACCUUUGUGGUAUCGAGGUAGGUUCAUGUGUAAAUAAUGUAGCAUAAUUGUUAUUUUUAAGUUAUUGAUGUUAAAUAUAUGAUAUGCUGAUUUUUAUCAUGAAAUAUAUGCUUUGUGGUUAUUUUCGAAUGAAAUGCAAGUUAUGUGUAUUAUCUGUUAAAUAUAAAGUGCUACCGAGUAUUGGUUUCGAUAUUUUACAGAAGAUGGCAAGGAUCUGUGUUCGAGGAAAAUCCCGUUUGAACCUUAGGAAUAGAUUAGGAUACAAGUGACAUGUCACUAGGAUGGUUGAGCAUCCGAACUCGUUGAGUUGAGUCCGAGUUCACUUAUGGAUGCGAAUGUUCGAACUCGUUGAGUUGAGUCCGAGUUCGUGAGAUGUAACUAGGCAUCCGAGCUCGUUGAGUUGAGUCCGAGUUCACUUAUGGAUGCAAACGCCCGAGCUCAUUGAGUUGAGUCCGAGUUCACUUAUUGGCGGGUUACAUGGUAGCUUGGCUACAUAUGUGGCACUUAUGUACAAACUUUCCAUGUAUCCGAAUUAUAUUCCGAUGCGUUCAACGGGUAAAAUUCUACUCAAAUGGAGGAAUACUCGAGAUGAAAGGGACGUAUUGGUAAAUGUUGUGAAAUGGAUACUUUGAACAAGUAAGAUGGUAAGAUGGUAAAUGAAAAUAUGAUAUGAAUGUCUCGGUGAUGAUUAUACAAACGAUGUUGUAUUAAUUUUGUGAACAAUGAUCAUGAAUGAGUAAUUUAGCCUUGACAGAUUUAAGUUACUGCAGUAGUGUAACUUUGAAAAUACACUAAAAAUAGUGGAAAAUAAGUUAGAGGUAGAAUAAAAUAUGGGAUUAAAGCUUAAUGAGUCUAUUUUCACAUGAAAGAAACAGGGUAUAUUAUGUGAUAUUUGAAUUCUUGUGAAACAGGGUCUGAAUAAAUUCGAGAUCCCUUUUCUGAAUUUAUAAAUUCACCAAAAAUUGUAAAAAAAUUACUAAGAGUCAUACCUUACAUGCAUGGAUUCCUUAUUGAGUCUAUUUUUAGGAGAAAUAAACGGCAUGGUUGUUGGAAUUUUGUACAGG
rnacentral:lncRNA from 1 species